AGAGAAUAUAAGCUGAGUCUUCGAGACGGCGUAAGAAUCCAGUAGAUAGAAAAUAGCACUCACCACAGCUGAGAGCGAGAGCUUUCCUUCUUUAUUUGUCGUGGUCCGUCCCGCUGGCCAGAGUCCAAGUGCCGGAAGUGAUGAGUGGACAGUUCUUGUUGACCCCAUGCCUAGUACACAGUUGUGUAUUCUAGUGAGUGCCUCUGGUUGUGCUAUAUGGGACGCCACCUCAGCGUAGACUGAUGAGCGGUGCCAAGCCCGUGCCCAGGAUCCGAACCAGUGAAACCCCGGACCGCCAAAGCAGAGCGUGCAAUCCCAACCACUUGGCCAAGGGGCCAGCCCCG
rnacentral:lncRNA from 1 species